rnacentral:rRNA from 1 species
UACGGAGGGUGCAAGCGUUAUCCGGAUUUACUGGGUUUAAAGGGUGCGUAGGUGGAUUUGUAAGUCAGUGGUGAAAUCUCCGAGCUUAACUCGGAAACUGCCAUUGAUACUAUAAGUCUUGAAUUAUCUGGAGGUAAGCGGAAUAUGUCAUGUAGCGGUGAAAUGCUUAGAUAUGACAUAGAACACCGAUUGCGAAGGCAGCUUACUAAGGUGUCAAUGACGCUGAGGCACGAAAGCGUGGGGAUCAAACAGG